UCAGAGGUUUAGGCCCAGUUCUACAGAUUUGUAUUACAGAUUUCUAUCUCUACAGACUCCCAAUUCUACAUAAUUUAAAUUUUACAGAAUCUUGAUUCUACAUAUUCACAAUUCCACAGAUUCCCAAUUUUACAUAAUUUUAAUUUUACAGAAUCUUGAUUCUACACAUUCACAAUUCUACAUAAUUGGUAUUCUACAAAAUUUCAAUUCAACAUAUUCGUAAUUAUACAGACUCCCAUUUCCACAAACUCCCAAUUCUACAGA